GCGCGCCGUUGGCAACCGGCUUGGAAUCGCCCAGCUGUCCCCAUCAGACGGCAGCCCGUGGCCGUCCCCUUCGCCUUGGGAUGCGGGGAUUUGGGGAGGCUGAAGGAGUCGGGGCCCCCACCGCUGUAGCGCUGCUGCCCCCAUUAGGGCCUGGAACCCCGAGCCUCCAGCUCUGCUCGCGGUGCCCCCCAAGGCUGAGGUUUCAGUCUGCAGUCUGCUGAUCCGAAAGAAAGAAGGCGGCUUUUGGAGGACAUAAUCAUUGCAAGUCGAGCUGCUGCUGAACCUCCCCUUCCAACAUCCAGCAGGCCCCGAUGAUGGCACAGGCAUGAAAGAGCCCAGAGCUCGUCGCUGGGGAGAGGCUGCGUAUGGCGUUGUGAAGGGAGAGAUGGAGGAGUGGUUUGAGCAGCGCUGUGCAGGAAUGAACGGCUGGUAAGAGAAGAGGCAGGAGUCGGGCAGCGGUACUGCAGCUCCUCUGGCAGCUUUGCAGCUCAGUUGGGAAGCAGAAGAUGUGGAUGUGAAAGAAGAAGUCCGUUGCUGGGACGUUCCCCUGUUCUUCCCCCAGCUGUCCCCUUGCCUCAGCCUGGAUUCCCCUUGCAUUCCUGUAGGAUUCCCUUCCAUCCCCCUGGCUGCCCCUUGCUUUCCCCAAGGCUGCCCUUUCCUUUCUCAUGACUGCCCACCCAUCAUUCCCUCAGAGUUCCAAUAUCCCUCCCAGUGUUUCCCAGCAAGACCCCUAGAGACACCCUAUAGCCCCCCACAGAGCCUUGGAGCCCCUCGAGGACCCCCUCAGACGCAGUACACCUCCCCCGUAGCUGGCCCAUACCCACAUGGAGCCCCACAGUCCCCAGCAGCACCCCAUGUGCCCCACUGGGCUUCCCCGGAAUCCUCCUAUUUCCUCCCUCAGACCUCCUUUACACCUCCAAGAUCCCCCCUGGGAACUCGCUGACCCCCAUGUUCUUUGACAGUACCCCCAUCACCAUCCAGUGAACCCCAUAGCCCACCUUUGGCCUCUCCUCCCCCUGACCUGCCUCCAGAUCCCGUACAACCUCACGGUGCUGUAGCAUGGAUGGCUUCUGCAGGUGAGGAAUGGGGAGCUGGAGAAGGUGUAGGGCACAGAUGUGGGUGAAAGUGAAGUGGUUGGCACUGGGGAUACUGGGGAACACGGAUCAGAACAUGGGUGGAUUUGGGGAGGAUAAGGGGAUGUGGACCACAGCCUACAGAAGCAGAGUGCUUCUCAGGAGGAGGCAAGGUGUGAGUUACAGGUGGGACUUGUGGGUGCGGGGACGUGGGGUGGCAUGGGUACGUGGGGGGUCUGGGGGCUCGUGGGGAGCGGUUUGGGGUCAGAAUGGAGGAUGUGGGGUGGUGUUGGCGUGCAUUCAUUGAUUUCUUCCUGAGAGGGGAUUGGGGUUCCCUGUGGCCCAAAGGUGGAGCCCUCAUCGGUAACCGCACAUGAGCCCAGAACCCCAUAUAACUCCACGUGACCCAAGGCUCCACAUAUCCCAUAACCUUGUGAGCACAGUAAGCCCAUCUGAGGCUGUGGGCAGGGAUGGGUCUGUUCCUGGCUUGUUCAGGGGGUACUAUAAGGUGGCUCUGGGGCCGCUGUAGGUCAGCAGCCUGAAUAUUCCCCUGAUGCUCAUCUUGCCCUCAUCUUGGGGGGCCAAAUGGAGGUCAAGGGGUUUGUUGGGGGCUAAGGAAGAGGUUCCAUGAGUGUAUCCCAUAGCUGCCCAGAGCAUCCCCAGAGCCAUCCUAGAGGAGCAGUUCCAGAGCAGCCCCAUCAUUGCCCAUAGCUCGUAGCCAGCAGCAGUUCCACCAGCAGCAGUGUGUUGGGUAAAGACAGCUCCUAAGUGUGGCUCUGCUGCAAGGCUGCCCCAAAGUGCUCCUGAAGCCCUCCCAUAGGCGUCUUUUAACUGUCCCACAACCCUGUGAGGCUUCCCCACAUCCCAGCACAUCCACGAACGUGCCUGUGGGGUGUGCGAGAAACGCUCACAUCCCUGAUGUUCCACCAGGCACAGCUCUCAGUGCAGCAGCAAAGCUCAUUCCUGAUUGCUGUGGCAUUACUGCACUCUCUUCUGUGAGCUCCUUCUGCUCCUGUAGCUCUCCUCCCAUGGCACCCACUGCUCUC